rnacentral:rRNA from 1 species
AGAGUUUGAUCCUGGCUCAGAUUGAACGCUGGCGGCAGGCCUAACACAUGCAAGUCGAGCGGUAGAGAGGUGCUUGCACCUCUUGAGAGCGGCGGACGGGUGAGUAAUACCUAGGAAUCUGCCUGGUAGUGGGGGGUAACGUUCGGAAACGGACGCUAAUACCGCAUACGUCCUACGGGAGAAAGCAGGGGACCUUCGGGCCUUGCGCUAUCAGAUGAGCCUAGGUCGGAUUAGCUAGUUGGUGAGGUAAUGGCUCACCAAGGCUACGACCCGUAACUGGUCUGAGAGGAUGAUCAGUCACACUGGAACUGAGACACGGUCCAGACUCCUACGGGAGGCAGCAGUGGGGAAUAUUGGACAAUGGGCGAAAGCCUGAUCCAGCCAUGCCGCGUGUGUGAAGAAGGUCUUCGGAUUGUAAAGCACUUUAAGUUGGGAGGAAGGGCAUUAACCUAAUACGUUAGUGCUUUGACGUUACCGACAGAAUAAGCACCGGCUAACUCUGUGCCAGCAGCCGCGGUAAUACAGAGGGUGCAAGCGUUAAUCGGAAUUACUGGGCGUAAAGCGCGCGUAGGUGGUUUGUUAAGUUGAAUGUGAAAUCCCCGGGCUCAACCUGGGAACUGCAUCCAAAACUGGCAAGCUAGAGUAUGGUAGAGGGUGGUGGAAUUUCCUGUGUAGCGGUGAAAUGCGUAGAUAUAGGAAUGAACACCAGUGGCGAACGCGACCACCUGGACUGAUACUGACACUGAGUGCGAAAGCGUGGGGAGCAACAGAUAGAUACCCUGUAGUCCACGCCGUAAACGAUGUCACUAGCCGUUGGGAGUCUGACU